CAACAGGGAUUGCCCCAGUAACGGCGAGUGAAGCGGCAACAGCUCAAAUUUGAAAUCUGGCCCCUAGGGUCCGAGUUGUAAUUUGUAGAGGACGCUUUUGGUGCGGUGCCUUCCGAGUUCCCUGGAACGGGACGCCAUAGAGGGUGAGAGCCCCGUCUGGUUGGAUGCCAAACCUCUGUAAAGCUCCUUCGACGAGUCGAGUAGUUUGGGAAUGCUGCUCAAAAUGGGAGGUAUAUGUCUUCUAAAGCUAAAUAUUGGCCAGAGACCGAUAGCGCACAAGUAGAGUGAUCGAAAGAUGAAAAGCACUUUGAAAAGAGGGUUAAAAAGUACGUGAAAUUGUUGAAAGGGAAGCGCUCAUGACCAGACUUGGGCUUGGCGAAUCAUCCAGCGUUCUCGCUGGUGCACUUUGCCUUGUCCAGGCCAGCAUCAGUUUGCUGUGGGGGAUAAAAGUUUCAGGAACGUGGCUGCUCCGGCAGUGUUAUAGCCUGUUGCAUAAUACCCUGUGGUGGACUGAGGUACGCGCUCCGCAAGGAUGC
rnacentral:rRNA from 1 species